UACGUAGGGCGCAAGCGUUAUCCGGAAUUAUUGGGCGUAAAGAGCUCGUAGGCGGUUUGUCGCGUCGGCCGUGAAAUCUCCACGCUUAACGUGGAGCGUGCGGUCGAUACGGGCAGACUUGAGUUCGGUAGGGGAGACUGGAAUUCCUGGUGUAGCGGUGAAAUGCGCAGAUAUCAGGAGGAACACCAGUGGCGAAGGCGCCACUCUGGGCCGAAACUGACGCUGAGGAGCGAAAGCGUGGGUAGCAAACAGG
rnacentral:rRNA from 1 species